rnacentral:rRNA from 1 species
AGCGAACGCUGGCGGCAGGCUUAACACAUGCAAGUCGAGCGGGCGUAGCAAUACGUCAGCGGCAGACGGGUGAGUAACGCGUGGGAACAUACCUUUUGGUUCGGAACAACACAGGGAAACUUGUGCUAAUACCGGAUAAGCCCUUACGGGGAAAGGAUUUAUCGCCGAAAGAUUGGCCCGCGUCUGAUUAGCUAGUUGGUGAGGUAACGGCUCACCAAGGCGACGAUCAGUAGCGGUCUGAGAGGAUGAUCAGCCACAUUGGGACUGAGACACGGCCCAAACUCCUACGGGAGGCAGCAGUGGGGAAUAUUGGACAAUGGGCGCAAGCCUGAUCCAGCCAUGCCGCGUGAGGGAUGACGGCCUC